GAUGAACGCUGGCGGCGUGCCUAAUACAUGCAAGUCGAGCGAACAGACGAGGAGCUUGCUCCUCUGACGUUAGCGGCGGACGGGUGAGUAACACGUGGAUAACCUACCUAUAAGACUGGGAUAACUUCGGGAAACCGGAGCUAAUACCGGAUAAUAUAUUGAACCGCAUGGUUCAAUAGUGAAAGACGGUUUUGCUGUCACUUAUAGAUGGAUCCGCGCCGCAUUAGCUAGUUGGUAAGGUAACGGCUUACCAAGGCAACGAUGCGUAGCCGACCUGAGAGGGUGAUCGGCCACUGGAACUGAGACACGGUCCAGACUCCUACGGGAGGCAGCAGUAGGGAAUCUUCCGCAAUGGGCGAAAGCCUGACGGAGCAACGCCGCGUGAGUGAUGAAGGUCUUCGGAUCGUAAAACUCUGUUAUUAGGGAAGAACAAAUGUGUAAGUAACUAUGCACGUCUUGACGGUACCUAAUCAGAAAGCCACGGCUAACUACGUG
rnacentral:rRNA from 1 species